CUGGCAGGUUUGGUGGGCUGAUGUCUAUCUGCCUGUCUGUGCCUGCUGUACAGGUUGGAGGAUAUUCUGCACAGCAAGUGUAGAUAGGCAGACACACUGCAACUCCUACA
rnacentral:pre_miRNA from 1 species